rnacentral:lncRNA from 1 species
GAAGAAAUACCUGAGACGGGGUAAUUUAUAAAGAAAACAAGUUUAAUUGACUCACAGUUCGCAUGGCUGGGGAGGCCUCAGGAACUAACAAUCAUGGCAGAAGGCACCUCUUCAUAGGACAGCAGGAGAAAGAAUGAGUGCCAGCAAGGGAAAUGCCAGACGCUUAUUAAACCAUCAGAUCUCGUGAGACUCACUCACUAUCACGAGAACAGCAUGGGGGAAACGCCCCCAUGAUCCGAUUACCUCCACCUGGUUCUGCCCUUGACACACACAGGGAUUAUGGGGACUACAAUUCCAGAUGAGAUUUUGGGUGGGAACACAGCCAGACCAUAUCAAGGAGUUAAAGUGAGGCUUUUGCCUUUGGGUCACGUGUGGCACCUGGUUUCUUAUGGAAGUCAUUGCCCUCCGCAUUUGAAUGGGGCAGGGGAUAAAGCUAGGCUCCAAUCAUCUCUGUCCUUCGUCUCCCACUUUGGAAUCCUGUCUCCUUUCUUCUGUCAUAAAUAACCUUCUUACCUUAAUGCCCUGUGUUAGAGCUGCCCACCCGGAGUUAGAGCUUUACUGCUCCCCUUACUUUCCAUUUGGGGAUCUUAAGACGUGGAGUACAGCAGGGAGACUCGGAGAAGGAGCUGGUACACUUCAAAAGCAAGUGAACUAUUUCUCAAUAAGACUUGGAAUUCCAACUUCUGGUUAAUUGUAAAUAUGAUUUGGAGGAAGAAGUAGCACAUCAGGGAGCUAAGUUCCUAGAUGGAGACUCCUUGAUCACAAGGAAGAUGGGCCCAGUGCUGGCCUAAGCAGGAGCAUGGCUGAAUUGAGAUGAGAUGAAAAGGAAGAGUCAGCUGAGGAGCUUCCUCGAGAAGGGAAAGGCAUGGGAGAAGACGAGUUUUGUCCUGAUUCUCACUUGUAAAUGUAGUCAUGUGAUGGCACAAUACUCUGGGCUAUGGUGGUCUUUAUAAAACCAUGAAUGGAAGGCCAAGAGACUUGACCUAGAGCCCUGACACCCCUGAGUCACUGAACCAAUGAUAGGACUUCUGCUUCUGGGAGGCUGAGGAGAGUGGAUCACUCAGUUUGUUUAAGCCACAGUUAUUUGGGUUUUAUGGAACUCAAAGCUGAAAUCUUUCCUAAUUGAUAAAGGACCACAGGA